rnacentral:rRNA from 1 species
GUGGUUUAAUUCGAUGCAACGCGAAGAACCUUACCUGGUCUUGACAUCCCGGAGACCCUUAGGAACUAGGGGUGCUUCCAUCUGGAAGAAAUCUGGAGACAGGUGCUGCAUGGCUGUCGUCAGCUCGUGUCGUGAGAUGUUGGGUUAAGUCCCGCAACGAGCGCAACCCUUGCCUUUAGUUGCCAGCAGUUCGGCUGGGCACUCUAAAGGGACUGCCGGUGUUAAACCGGAGGAAGGUGGGGAUGACGUCAAGUCCUCAUGGCCUUUAUGACCAGGGCUACACACGUACUACAAUGGCCGAUACAAAGGGCAGCGACACUGCGAGGUGAAGCCAAUCCCGUAAAAUCGGUCUCAGUCCGGAUUGGAGUCUGCAACUCGACUCCAUGAAGUUGGAAUCGCUAGUAAUCGUGGAUCAGCAUGCCACGGUGAAUACGUUCCCGGGCCUU